UNUAUUCUUAGCUCACAUGAAAACAUUCUG
rnacentral:piRNA from 1 species